UGAGGUCGGCUCGGUUCGCGUAACCUCAGCUGUUCCAGGAAGAUGCAGCAGGUCUGUGUCUGCUCAGCUACCAAACAGCUUCAGGUGAAUUACAACCACCUCCUGGACUGGAGAGUUGCAUGUAGCCUGGGAAAACCAAGACAGAUUACAAUCAGAUGUGUGAUGUGGAGACGCGUACAGUAUAGACGACUCCACAGGUAUAAAACAGCGGUUUCAUAAAAAGUCUCGACUGCAGCAGCCGAUUACCAUCAUCUGUGAUCAGCGGGUAGGAUUAGAUCAGUAUUUAUUACUCCUGUAGUCAUGUGACAUCAGAAACCGAAAGGUAUGUCAACGACUGUUUAAUUAUCACGUGCAGGUAUCAGAUAUCAGCUAAUUGCUUUGUUGCCUGAAGCGAGCAGCUGCUGCUCAGAUAUCAGCUCUGUUCCCUCAGGCGAAAAAAAAAAAAAAUCACGCAGCUUCACCCCCUUUAGAGUGAUUUAUAGUCCAGUAAGAUUUAACAUGUUGAAUGUAAUUCUGCAAUGCUGGAUGGAUGUCCUGUAUUGCCAGACAGGUUUUACUGUCAGUGAGUAAAAUAAGUUUUUCAUAUCGAUGAUUUACUUUAUGGAGCGGAGAGUCAGCGGCGAGGAAAAGGCUUUUACUGAAAAUAGUCUGAGGCUGUAAGUGAGUGAUUUUAUGCUUCUGUGUCAGGUUUUAAGGACUUCACAUUUUUUGGCAUGGUUAUUUUUAAUCAGUCAUCCAAAAGCACAGGGAGUCGGAUGUUAUUUGGGGGGUUUUUUUUAAAUAAAUUUCAAGCAAAAAUUUCCACCAUGAAACUGUAUGCAGCACUGUGAAUGUAUCAGUCAGGUUUCAGUCACUCCUGAUUAAAAUGUCGAGGGCUGAGAGAGCUGCACAAGCUGCAAACUAAAUUUUUCCUCCUACAGCUGACGUUCAAUC